UUUUGAAGUAAUUAUUAGAAUAUUUAGUUUAAUUUAAAUUAAUAUGAGUAAAUUAAAGUUUAAUUAUUUGUGAAGAAUAAAUUUAAUAUAAUUAUAGUUUAUUAGUAUUGUGAAAGAAAUUUAAUCAAAAUUUUAUAAGAAGAGUUAAUUUUUUGUACCUUGUGUAUCAGGGUUUAUUAAAUAAAGUUAAUGGAUAUUUAUUUUCUCGAAUUUAAGAGAGCUAUAAUUAUAUAAUUUUUAUUGUGGAAUAAAUAUUAGUAAUAUAAUUAUUGAAGUGAAAUGCUAUUCGAUCUUAAAUAUAUCUAGUUUUUUAAGAAAUAAAUUUAAUUUAGUUUAUUUUAAAUAUAAGUUUUAAUUUUUAAGUUUAUGUUUGAAUAAGUAAAUAUUUUAGGGGAUGAGCUUUAAAAUAAAAUUUUAAAAAUUUAUUUAAUUUUAUUAAUAAAUAGGAUUAGAAGUUUUUAUUUUUAAAUAGUGUUUUAUAACUAAUUAAUAUAAAAAUAUAAUUUGUAUUUAAAUUUUAAGUUUUUUAUUAAAAUUUUCUUUUUAAUAAUUAAAAAGUAGUAAUAAUGAUAAAAUUAGUAAAAUUAAGAGUUUAAAUUAUUAAAUAUUGAAAGGUUAAAUAAAGGAACUCGGCAAAAUAUUUUUCACCUGUUUAUUAAAAACAUGUCUUUUUGAUUAUAAUUUAAAGUCUAACCUGCCCAAUGAUAAAAUUUAAAUGGCUGCGGUAUUUUGACCGUACAAAGGUAGCAUAAUCAUUAGUUUUUUAAUUGAAAGCUGGAAUGAAAGGUUGCAUGAAAAAAUGACUGUCUCUAUUUAAAUUUAAUUGAAUUUUAUUUUUAAGUAAAAAAGCUUAAAUUUUUCUAAAAGACGAGAAGACCCUAUAGAGUUUUAUAAAUUUAUUAUAAGGAAUUUUUAGGAUUUAAAAUAAUUUAUAUUUAAUUUAUUUAAUUGGGGUGAUUGAAAAAUUUGUUAAACUUUUUUUAUUUAUAUUACAUUAAUUUAUGAGUUUUUGAUCCUUACUUUAAGAUUAAAAGAUAAAAUUACCUUAGGGAUAACAGCGUUAUUUUUUUUGAGAGUUCAAAUCGAAAAAAAAGAUUGCGACCUCGAUGUUGGAUUAAAAUAAAUUUUUGGUGUAGAAGCUAAAAAAAUUAGGUCUGUUCGACCUUUAAAAUUUUACAUGAUCUGAGUUUAAACCGGCGUGAGCCAGGUUGGUUUCUAUCUUUAGAAAAAGUAAAUAUCUUAGUACGAAAGGACCUUUUAUUUAAUUUAAAAUUUUUAUAUGAAUAAAAUU
rnacentral:rRNA from 1 species